ensembl:lncRNA
UUAAUUUCCAUUCCACAGUCCAAUCUCUUCUUCCUCUGAAACAAUUACUUAAAAGUUUCUUUGCAGCCCUCCAGGCGUCCCACCCUCUUGCUGGCUUCCAUUUCCAUAGCUCUCUCCAGCUUGUCUCCACAGGGCUUUGCCACCAGCCUCCCUUCAGAGGAGCUUCAUAGCUGGGGCCCAGGAUGGGGAUAUAUGGAAAGACCAGGGGGGCUUUUUCAUACCUUGUAGGGCAGACCUACACCUUCAGACAAAAAUGAGAGAAGCCCCUAAAAGGAGCAUGGGAGAAGAUUUGGGCAGUGCCUUGUUCCCAGGGGAAAACAGGUCUGUUCUUAGGGCAGCAUCCUAGAGACCCUCCUGGGGCUGCUUUUGGACGUGGGGCUUCGAAGCAACAAGCCAGGUGAGCAAGCACAUCUUGCUUCUCUUCUGGAGUGAUGAUCUCAUGGUAGGUAAUAAUUAUUAUCUCAUUAUAGGUAAUAAUAAAAGGCUUUAUUUACCUUUGGUAUCCUGGGGCCCAUACCUUGUGUACCACUGGGGCCAUACCUUGUGUCUGGAGUGCAGGAGCUGAUUUUUGACCAAAUACGCCUUCUGCAAGCCAAGCCCCUGGGUCCUGCUGGGUCCUGCUGAGACACAAAAUUAUAAAAGAUGGCUCCUUCCAAGGAUGUACUUCUCCCAGGGCAGGCAGCCAAGCAACAGCCCUGGCACCAGCCCCCAGGGAUAUGGGAAGACCAGGAAAUUCAGCAAGGCAGGAUCACAGCUGGGAUGAAGCAAGUGGCUGAUCUGAGCAGCACAGUGGAAAAAGAGAUCUGGAGAAGAUGUGUGGGAAGCUUCUCCCGGACACAAGCAGGUGACCCAGGGCAGAAGGCAACCAAGUGGACUUUGACUCCAGGCUAGAGGGGGAUCAAUGAGUUUUGCUUUCACUAAUCUGUGAAUCUUGCUUACAGGGACUGUGGCUGCCAGGCAUCCCUGAACAGGUAAUAAUUAGCAUUGACUCCAUGAUUCACAGAAGGCUGAUCAAUCUCUAUAUUAUAUUAUGUUAUGUUAUGUUAUGUUAUGUUAUGUUAUGUUAUGUUAUGUUAUGUUAUGUUAUGUUAUGUUAUGUUAUAUUAUAUUAUAUUAUAUCAUUAUUAAGAAACCCAUUGCUUUUAUAGACAGUUACGAUACACCUGGACCUAACUGGUCCUUUAAUUAAAACACCAUUUCCAUUGGCUAAUUAAGAAAUCACCCUUUGGUAAACUAAUCUCCAUAACACAUUCCACAUGUUCACAAUGAGAGGUGCAGCAGGUUAAGAUAAGAAUUAUUUAUCAUUCUUUUCUCUGUUCUUCUCACAGCCCUUCCCAGAAAGGCCUGGGAAAGUUGCGUGUUGUUCUCUGUGGCCAGACAACUGCUGCCACAAGCAACAGCAUGAGAUACUCUUACUUUUUUCUUUUCAUUUUUGCCUUCCAUUUAUUUCCUUUCCAGAAACUGUGUCCUCUUGAGUUCUCUGGCUGGGAACAGUGAACUCAUCCAUCAGUGAACUCAUCCCUCAUCCAGGCAGGCUCAGGUUCUCAUGGCCUGGCCCAGACUUCCCAAUCACCCCACCACUCACAGUGAGUCUCCCUGUUACUGGGAGAAAAGAUCAAGGGUCUGUUUUUUUUUUUCUUUGCACCAUCUCAUGGUGAAAGUGUCUUUCUGACUGUACCCCAUGGCAUCACCUUCACUCGCCACGGGAAUGUCUGCUCACAUCCAACAUGCCCACAGAGGUCAGGGGCCA